rnacentral:rRNA from 1 species
CGUACACUCCUACGGGAGGCAGCAGUGGGGAAUAUUGGACAAUGGGCGCAAGCCUGAUCCAGCCAUGCCGCGUGAGUGAUGAAGGCCCUAGGGUUGUAAAGCUCUUUCACCGGUGAAGAUAAUGACGGUAACCGGAGAAGAAGCCCCGGCUAACUUCGUGCCAGCAGCCGCGGUAAUACGAAGGGGGCUAGCGUUGUUCGGAUUUACUGGGCGUAAAGCGCACGUAGGCGGACUAUUAAGUCAGGGGUGAAAUCCCGGGGCUCAACCCCGGAACUGCCUUUGAUACUGGUAGUCUUGAGUUCGAGAGAGGUGAGUGGAAUUCCGAGUGUAGAGGUGAAAUUCGUAGAUAUUCGGAGGAACACCAGUGGCGAAGGCGGCUCACUGGCUCGAUACUGACGCUGAGGUGCGAAAGCGUGGGGAGCAAACAGGAUUAGAUACCCGGGUAGUCCCAUGA